GCAAUGGUUCAGUGGUAGGAUUCUUGCCUUCCACACAGGAGAUCUGGGUUGGAUUCCUAGUCAAUGCA
rnacentral:tRNA from 1 species